rnacentral:rRNA from 1 species
GAUGAACGCUGGCGGCGUGCCCAAUACAUGCAAGUCGAGCGAACAGACGAGGAGCUUGCUCCUUCGACGUUAGCGGCGGACGGGUGAGUAACACGUAGGUAACCUACCUAUAAGACUGGGAUAACUUCGGGAAACCGGAGCUAAUACCGGAUAAUAUUUCGAACCGCAUGGUUCGAUAGUGAAAGAUGGCUUUGCUAUCACUUAUAGAUGGACCUGCGCCGUAUUAGCUAGUUGGUAAGGUAACGGCUUACCAAGGCAACGAUACGUAGCCGACCUGAGAGGGUGAUCGGCCACACUGGAACUGAGACACGGUCCAGACUCCUACGGGAGGCAGCAGUAGGGAAUCUUCCGCAAUGGGCGAAAGCCUGACGGAGCAACGCCGCGUGAGUGAUGAAGGUCUUCGGAUCGUAAAACUCUGUUAUUAGGGAAGAACAAACGUGUAAGUAACUGUGCACGUCUUGACGGUACCUAAUCAGAAAGCCACGGCUAACUACGUG